CUGAAGCAGAUCCAGAGUCCCACAGCCAGAUGUUACACAGUGAGAGACCUUGAAAUGCUCAGCCCUAAAUGGGAUGUCUCCAUCAAACCCCUCCUCUCACAGCUUAUCAAACCCAGCAGAAGAGGAGGAGGAAUGAGCAUAAGAGCCAGAGGGGAUGGAGGACAUCACAGAAAACAAGACCCUCCAAAUCACCAUGAGUAGAGCUCACAUGAACUCAUAGAGACUGAAGCUAGGUGGGUGGAUCUGCAGCAGGUCCUCUGUGAAUAUAUUAUGGCUUCCAGUGUUUUUUAACUCAGAAGACUGUACAAUGAAGACUUGUCCUCCCAGCUCCCAGUCACCCUGAGACAGGGACACCACCAGUGGGCCUUUCCUGUUUCACGUGACCAGUUUCUUGCUCUCCUACAAAUCAAAGGACAAGGGGACUAAAUGGAACACACUGGGAGCCAGUUGCCUUACCUUGUCACUCCACCACGUCACUGCCACAUGCAGGCUAUAGUCACAACAGACUUUCGGGUCUGCCCAGUUGCGCCAGGUCUCAAAGGCCUCGAUGAGGGAGCCGCCUUUCUGAGGAAUGGCAAAAUCAAUGAUCAUGGUGGUGCCUCCUGCCAAAGCAGCCUGCAAUCACAGGAGGGUUUGGUCAGUUGGGUUAGGUUAGAGGUCAUGCUGUGAAAGCUGCACAUCUGUCAGCCCCUUGGCUGAUCUGAUGGGCCCAGGAAAUGUCAAAGAUGCUGCUUUGAAAAAGACCUGAGAGGCAUGAAUAGACGCCCCUAAAAUUAAAGUUUAGAGUCUUAAAAUGCCUGGAGCUACUUCUGAGCAAGAAAGCCUGACUGUAAAGAAAACUGAAGUGGGCGGAUGUGCUGGCUAUUCCCAGUUGUUACACUGGCUAUAUCUGGAAUGAACUACAAUCCAGAAAUGGAGGGCAGACCUGUGAUCCAGCUCUCGAGGCCAUACCUUCUGCUGGAGGCCUACAUAAGGACAAUGGAGGAAGGAAGGCUUUUUUCUUCUUCACCCGAUUGCACUUUACUUGCCAGCACAUCUGUUGGAGCCUCCUUCUUCAGGAUUCCAGCUCACACAGAAGACCAGCUGAAACACUCAGCCUUAUGGGACUGAACAGCUACGAGACUGUUGAACUUCCCAUUCACAGCUGCCCAUUGUUGGGUUAGUUGGACUGCAGAAUGUAAACCAUUCCAAUAAAUUCUCUUACUACAUAGAGACAUUCCUUAAGUUCUAUGACUCCAGAGAGCCCUGAUUAACACAGAGGUUGUGCUGGCUCAUGCCUGCAGUCCCAAUACUUGGGUGGCUGAAGUAGAAAGCUGUGAGUGGAUGUCCAGCCUGGGCUACAGAGUGAGACUUUUUCUCAAGAAACCCUCACAUGGGAAAAGGAGAAAAGAUACAAACCAUUUCAAGAACAAAAACAAAACAAAUCAAACAAAAAAUCUUAUACAUGCUGUAGUAAAAUCCCACUUCCUUGGGAUUCAUUGUAGGGAAUUACAUGGCCAACAGCCCCUGGGAUUGCUGGUGAUGUUUUGUCUUUGAUUUACAUCCGUGGUCACCGCCUAUUCCCACGGCUCUGGUUUUAGCUCAGAAUCUUCUCAUCUCUAGCUGAUUCCCAGUUGGGUAUUUUCUCUCCAGUUCUGCCCUAACAUCAAGCCACAAACCCUCAGUGCAGAGAACAUCUCCAACCUACAGCUGAGCCAUUUGGCUCAACAGGUUAAGGAGGAAGGAGGAACAAAGGGACAGUUUCUCCAACAAGAGGGACGCACUCUGGUUUCAAUAGCCCAGUGGAGAAUGCUGUCAUUAACAGUUGUACUCUGUGUGACUCAUGGACGAGAAGAGAAGAUUUGCAGCAGUGUCCUCACGGCGAAGAGAUGCUAAAUGUCCGAGGCAAUGCUAAUAUGCUAAUUGCCCGGUUUCGAUCAUUACACAAUGUUUACACAGGUAACACACUGCACUCUGUAAGUCUGUGGUUAUUCUGUGCCAACUGGAAAUUUUAGAAAGUUAAUGCUUCUGUUGCCUCUGGGAUGAAGUUUAAUCUUCAUAAACUUGGUCUCUGAGUCCCUGCAUCCUGCCUCAACCCUCGAUAGACCUGGUGGCAUAUUACGCUACAUUACAAGUAAUUUAAAAA